rnacentral:rRNA from 1 species
UACGAAGGGGGCUAGCGUUGCUCGGAAUCACUGGGCGUAAAGCGCACGUAGGCGGGUUGCUAAGUCGGGGGUGAAAUCCUGGAGCUCAACUCCAGAACUGCCUUCGAUACUGGCGACCUAGAGUCCGGGAGAGGUGAGUGGAACUCCGAGUGUAGAGGUGAAAUUCGUAGAUAUUCGGAAGAACACCAGUGGCGAAGGCGGCUCACUGGCCCGGUACUGACGCUGAGGUGCGAAAGCGUGGGGAGCAAACAGG